rnacentral:misc_RNA from 1 species
UAUGAGUUCAAUGUCCCAGCCUUUGAAUUAUUGAUAUUGUGAGUUUUGGCCCAUUCCUUGACUAGUAAGACCAUAUCCCGAAAGCGCCCAUCUAUCUGGUUGAUCCACAACAAGAAUUUGGACUUCAUUUGACCGUGCAGAUUGUCAACUGAAAUAUCACAAGAAAUGCUCUUGGGGCCACACUCAAAUUUUAAGAUGGGAACUCUGGCACUUGGGACAAACUGUAACCUGUGAAAUUUACCUUUCUGCCUCAAAGCUCUUAGUAACUCUCCAAGUAAAUUCUGUUUGCGCUUCUUUCCAGUGGAUGAAAUAUAAGAACCAUUUGAUAGCACAAUAGAGAUAUCCAAGUCUCCCCAUCGAGUGAAGAGAUUGGACACAAAUGAUCCAAAUGGCUCCACAGUUGCACCUCUAAGACUUUCCACAGAGGUAACAACAUCUUUUAACUCUUCAAUUAUUUUAGAUCGCACAUCCCAAUCCUCUUGUAGAGGUUUAAUAACCUUGAGCAUAUCCUUAAGAGUAGGCUCCAAUGUGUUGUAGCCAUUCAUUUUUGUUCACUGUUUGAUAAAGCAGUAAGCAGAAGCCCUUCUUACUCCUUGACCCUCUUUUGCUAUACGGUCAACCUGGAAGUUCUAUAACCGAACCAAACAAGAAAAGGGCGCCCACUUCUCACCCUGCGCUUUCUCAAGC